GGGUCGGUGGCGUAGUUGGUUAUCGCAUCUGUCUAACACAAUAGGUGGUGCACAGAAGGUCCUCAGUUCGAGCCUGGGCCGACUCA